UNUGACUUGAGUGCAGAAGGGGAGAGUGGAAUUCCAUGUGUAGCGGUGAAAUGCGUAGAUAUAUGGAGGANCACCAGUGGCGAAAGCGGCUCUCUGGUCUGUCACUGACGCUGAGGCUCGAAAGCGUGGGUAGCGAACAGGAUUAGAUACCCUGGUAGUCCACGCCGUAAACGAUGAGUGCUAGGUGUUAGGCCCUUUCCGGGGCUUAGUGCCGGAGCUAACGCAAUAAGCACUCCGCCUGGGGAGUACGACCGCAAGGUUGAAACUCAAAGGAAUUGACGGGGGCCCGCACAAGCGGUGGAGCAUGUGGUUUAAUUCGAAGCAACGCGAAGAACCUUACCAGGUCUUGACAUCCCGAUGCUAUUCUUAGAGAUAGGAAGUUACUUCGGUACAUCGGAGACAGGUGGUGCAUGGUUGUCGUCAGCUCGUGUCGUGAGAUGUUGGGUUAAGUCCCGCAACGAGCGCAACCCUUAUUGUUAGUUGCCAUCAUUAAGUUGGGCACUCUAGCGAGACUGCCGGUAAUAAACCGGAGGAAGGUGGGGAUGACGUCAAAUCAUCAUGCCCCUUAUGACCUGGGCUACACACGUGCUACAAUGGUCGGUACAACGAGUUGCGAGCCGGUGACGGCAAGCUAAUCUCUGAAAGCCGAUCUCAGUUCGGAUUGGAGGCUGCAACUCGCCUCCAUGAAGUCGGAAUCGCUAGUAAUCGCGGAUCAGCACGCCGCGGUGAAUACGUUCCCGGGCCUUGUACACACCGCCCGUCACACCACGAGAGUUUGUAACACCCGAAGUCGGUGAGGUAACCUUUUAGGGGCCAGCCGCC
rnacentral:rRNA from 1 species